CCCCAAAAAAACCCCUGUAUUGGAUCAAUUUUCAUAUUUUAAUAAAGUUGUUCUGUGAACUUUAUUGAAGUAUAAUUUACAUGCAACAAAAUUCAUCAGUUUUAAGUGUUAUAAUGUGAUGAGUUAUGACAAAUGUAUGUACUUAAGUAGCCACCACCACAGUCAGAAUAUAGAGUAUUUCCAUCAUCUCCUGAAAUACUCUUAUAUUUAGAGAUGUGAAAGGCAGCAAAGGAAACUGAAAAAGAGAAGCCAGAAAUGCAGGAAGAUAAAAAGGAGACUUUGGGCUCUUGGAAGCCAACAGAAGAAAGUACUUCAAGGAUGAAGGAAUGACUAACUGUGUCAAAUGCUAAUGCUAUUGUCAAAUAACUAAGGUGAGGACUGAGAAUUCACCAUAGAAUUCAGUAAUAUGGAAUACUGGUGACCCUGACAAAAAGCAGCUACAGUGGAAUGAUAAGGGUGCAAGCUCAACUGAAAUGGGUUCAAGAGGGAAUGGGAGAAGAACAUCUGGAGACAGCAAGAACAAACAACUCUUUUAAAAACAUUUUCCUAUAAAAGGAAGGAAGGGAGGGAUAGUGACUGGAGGGGUGUUUGUAUGCUACAAGGGCUGAUACAAUACAGAAGGAAAAAGUGCUGAUGCAUGAAAGAGCAGGGAGAAGUGUUAAUCAUACACUUAAGUUGGCAAGAAAGGAGAUCAAGUGUACAAGAGGAGGGAUUGGCUUUAGACAGAAGUAGGAACUGUUCAUUCAAAGUGUAGAAGAGAAGGUGAAGAGUAAGGGCACAACGGAUGCAGGAGACGUGAUUCAUACCUUGCUGCUAAAGAAAGGAUCUGGAAGGCAGUAUCCAUUCAUUACGUUGACCAGAUUAUCCAGGACAUAAUGGAACACUCGAUGCAGUUUCUCGCCUCUGAGUGCCGUGCUCUGGAUCCGUGGCAGACUACCUGUGUGAAGCUCAGCCUAUCAACCCCAACAAGAGAUCAAGUCAUCUACUACUUUUGAUCUAAGAAAUAAGGACUUGAUUUGUGGCCCAGGCCACAAAUUUGUACCACUCCAGUACAGUGGUACAAUCACCAUUCACUGCUGCCUUGAAUUCCUGGGCUCAAGGGAUCCUCCCACCUUAGCUGCCAGAG